rnacentral:rRNA from 1 species
AACGAACGCUGGCGGCAUGCCUAACACAUGCAAGUCGAACGAGACCUUCGGGUCUAGUGGCGCACGGGUGCGUAACGCGUGGGAACCUGCCCUUAGGUUCGGAAUAACUCCCCGAAAGGGGUGCUAAUACCGGAUAAUGUCUUCGGACCAAAGAUUUAUCGCCUUUGGAUGGGCCCGCGUUGGAUUAGCUAGUUGGUAGGGUAAAAGCCUACCAAGGCGACGAUCCAUAGCUGGUCUGAGAGGAUGAUCAGCCACACUGGGACUGAGACACGGCCCAGACUCCUACGGGAGGGAGCAGUGGGGAAUAUUGGAAAAAGGGCCGAAGGCUGAUCCAGCAAUGCCGCGUGAGUGAUGAAGGCCUUAGGGUUGGAAAGCCCUUUUACCCGGGAUGAUAAUGACAGUACCGGGAGAAUAAGCUCCGGCUAACUCCGUG